AUCAAACCAAAAUUAGAUCAAACCAAUUAAAAUAGGUCUUAACCCAAUUAAAAAUCUAAUUUAAUCAGAUUAAAUUAGAUUUAAAUCUGAUUUAAUUUUCUAAUCAAAUUAGAAAUUAGAUUGACCCAAGUCCUAGUUGAACUAGGACUAGUUUUUUCUUGCACUUGGCUUAUCCAAUAAACCAAUUGGACUUGAUCCAAUCAAGUCCAAACUAAAUCUAAUUAAAUUAUAUUUAAUUUGACUUAAUCUCAGCCCAUUGGCUUAAUCAAAUUAAGUCAAUUAGCAAUCGAAUUGCUAAUCGAUCCUCCUGCAACACUUGCACUGGGUUAAAUGUCAAUCGUAUUGAUCAUUUAACCCUAGAACGAUUCUUAAUCGUUGAUCAACCAUCUGAUCGGAUCAUGAACUCUAAUGUGUGUGAUCUCAUAUGUCCG
rnacentral:lncRNA from 1 species